CUUAUAUGGGUACUAUGGUCUUAUAUGGGUACUAUGGUCUUAUAUGGGUACUAUGGUCUAAGGACAGUGAUAUGGUCUUAUAUGGGUACUAUGGUCUUAUAUGGCUGCUAUGGUCUAAGGACAGUGAUAUGGUCUUAUAUGGGUACUAUGGUCUAAGGCCAGUGAUAUGGUCUUAUAUGGGUACUAUGGUCUUAUAUUGGUACUAUGGUCUAAGGCCAGUGAUAUGGUCUGAUAUGGGUACUAUUGACUUAUGUCGGUAAAUAUGGUCCAACAUCGGGGAUUAUGGUCUGAUGGUGAUUAAAUAGUCGCAUGUGCAUGCUGUGGCCUCAUAUAGGUACUGUGGUCUCAUGUUGGUAACACGGUCGGAUAAUAGUAAUUAGGUACCGUUUCAUUUGUAAUAUAAAAACUGUAGAUCUAAGAUCAGUCAUAUGGUGUAACACGGAUACUUGGUCUAAUAUAUGCAGUAUGGCCUAAUAUGGGUACAUACUGUGGUCUAAUAUAGGUAGUAUGAUCUAAUAUCGGUACUGUGAUCAAAUGUAGGUAAUAUUGUCUAAUGUGGACAGUAUGGUCUUGUGUCGGUAAUACCGACUGUUAUGGGUAAUACGAUCCAAUAUCGGUAAUAUGGUCUAAUAUCUGCACUCCUUCCUCUGACUACGGAUACCACGAUGUAUUUCCGAGUCCCUGAGACUUGGAGUAGUACGGGUGACCAUGUGCGCUAACUCUGUGAUACCUGAACCAUUGUUAGAUAUCGGAUACUACGAGUUCAAACCUGAAGGAAUAUGUACCAAUGAUCUCGCAUGUCGAAGUAUCCCUUUAAGGGAAAGUUUACACACUACUCAAAACUAGGUAAGGAAAACUCAUUUUGGGAGACAGACUAUAUGAAAAAGCAUUUGAGUGUUCUCUAUCUUGUUGCGAGUAGUAUUGAUUCUAAAUACAUAUUUAUGUUAUUCCAUGCAUGUAAAUAACCCGGAACAAGCAGUCCACGCGUAGUUAGCUAAGUUAUACGCCGUUAUAUAAUUGUUACGUGUUAUAUUUGUUGAAUCUGACUAUGGACACAUUUUCACAUCCGGGUACAUUUUCAUAACCGGAUGUGAUGUCAUAGGAGUUUUAAAACAUGAAGUGCCUGAUCGUUUAUUGUCUCCAGCUAAAGUCUUGUCUCUGUUAUUAUUCGAUAGUUAUACUGAUGGCUGAAAAUAAGAGAACGUCGAGAUACAAUUUUUCGCCAUUGCUUGACACUACACGCAGAACACUACAAUAUUUCAGUUGCAAUUAGUCGCUAUGUCACAAUUAUGUUCACAAUGCGACGUCAAAAAUACACUCGUUCACUUAUUUCUUUCCAUGAGUAUACUUCGAAAUGAGAUAGUUGAUUUAUUUUAUUGCAAGACAAGGCUAAACAUUAUAGCUUUGACAGGCAGAUCACAUCUGAAUCAUGAUAAGCGUUCAGAGAUAUUUUGGACAAUAAAUCCGUCUCAACUGA